rnacentral:misc_RNA from 1 species
AACGCAUAUUGCACCCUCUGGUAUUCCGGAGGGUACACCUGUUUGAGCGCCAUUUAGAACUUCAAGCAUAGCUUGGUGUUGGGUAAAGUCCUUAGAAAGAAAGGGACUUACCCUUAACUCGUAGGCGAUCAUGGCCCACUUCUCCCAGCGUAGCAGGCUUACGCACAUCGCUCGGGGAUAGGAGGUUUGAUCACCUUUUAGUGACAAAUUCAUAAGUUUGGCCUCAAAUCAGGUGGGGAUACCCGCUGAACUUAA